rnacentral:rRNA from 1 species
GACGAACGCUGGCGGCGUGCUUAACACAUGCAAGUCGAACGGAAAGGCCCUGCUUUUGUGGGGUGCUCGAGUGGCGAACGGGUGAGUAACACGUGAGUAACCUGCCCUUGACUUUGGGAUAACUUCAGGAAACUGGGGCUAAUACCGGAUAGGAGCUCCUGCUGCACGGUGUGGGUUGGAAAGUUUCGGCGGUUGGGGAUGGACUCGCGGCUUAUCAGCUUGUUGGUGGGGUAGUGGCUUACCAAGGCUGUGACGGGUAGCCGGCCUGAGAGGGUGACCGGCCACAUUGGGACUGAGAUACGGCCCAGACGGCUACGGGAGGCAGCAGUGGGGAAUAUUGCACAAUGGGCGGAAGCCUGAUGCAGCAACGCCGCGUGCGGGAUGACGGCCUUCGGGUUGUAAACCGCUUUCGACUGUGACGAAGCGUGAGUGACGGUAAUGGGUAAAGAAGCACCGGCUAACUACGU